rnacentral:lncRNA from 1 species
CCACAACCACAAAAAUACAAAAACAUUUAAUAACAUUCAUAAAUAAACCCCAUCAUACAUAUAGUCUUGUCCUUAUUACAAACCAUAGUUAGGUAUUUAAUAACGUUCAAAGAUUAAUUUUAGUCCAAACCAUGUGUUAAACAUUAUGUGGUGGUAUUGAAAGAAAUAUUUGAGAUGCGGUUAGGUAACUCUUGAACGGCGUAUCUUUCAACUCCUUCCAAUAAUUGGGCAUUUCAAGUUAGUUGUGCCCACGUUUCUUCGCUAGCUACAACCUUGCAUUCCACCAGGUCAAAUUUGAAUCCCGGCCUCGCACACAAAUCAUUUAUCUUCCCGACACGCAAGCUUAAAAUCGACGCGAACCACGGAGCACAGGAAACUACAGCAGUAAAAUGAUCCUUGCGUUAUAAAAAUACAAAACAAAAAUAAAUCAAAUAGAUCAAAGGAACAAAAGAAUGAAUUACCUGUAAAUGUCACAACAACAAACAGGUACAAAAAUUAUCCCCACCACAAAUUCAAACCACCGUUGCGCAUAACGAGAAACAUACCCAAAAAAAAAACACCAUAAAUCAAUACUUGCAUACAGUCAAAUGUAAAACCCGAUAAGAAGGUUUCUUACCAAUCAAUACUUGCAUACAGUACUUUGUAAUCGCAAUGCUAUAUAUCUUAUUGACUACAUUGAUACAACUUGUUCAUAAACUAGCAAAUUUGUAUACAUAAAACUAUAAUGAAAAAUCAAGAAAACUAUAAUGAAGUAUAAGAUCAUAAACCAAUCUCCAUUGUACAGAGAAUAUCAGAAAUAAAGAAGAAAAAAUGAUAAAAUCAAGAAUCAUGUCAACUAACCCUAAGCACUUUAAGAUGAAAAAAUAAAGAACUGACCUGAUUGAAACAAAGACCUGGAGAAAGCAACCCCCAUUGUAUACAGACAGCUAAUGCAGAAGGAAAGAUUGUUUAUGAAAACUAUGUGAAGGCAGUCUAUAUAUAACCUCAGUGUUUGGUUUGUAUGUUCUGAAUUAAAAGAUUUUUAAGGGUUUGGUUUGUAUGUUAUUAUACUCUAUAUAUAACCUCAGUGUUUUAUAAACUUACUCAGAAUACCUAUUGAAAGCUUGAAAGCUAGUAAAAAGGAAGCAGCAAAAUGAAUCGUGCUCGAAGCCUAGAAAGAUAUUAUGUACAUGUAGCACAGAGCGAACUUCAAAUUUUUAGUUUUUAGUUUUAGAAUUUGAAGCCUCAAAUUUUAUUUAUCCACAAAUUGGUUUUCAACAAAAUUUAUAUAAGUAGGAAGCUAUUGAUGGGGAAUCUACAAAAACACCAGUCAUGACCACCAAAAACCUAUAAUUUGCGACCUGUAUCCCAAAUAUUUUCGUCGAUUUUCUUAUCCUAAACCACAUUGUAUCCCUACACAAUUAGCUUUUUCACUGCCAGUAUAUUGUAAUGUUACAGUAAAACGUACAGUAUCGAAAUCAAAUGUAAUGAAAGUCAUUACUCCACAUAUACCAGAAACAUUAUUUUCUCCACAUUGUAAUGAAAGAAAGAAUCGACAAAUAGCAGAAAGAAAGAAAGAAUCGACAUAUACCACAAAUAAUCGACAAAUUCAAGUAGCAUUAUUUCCUCCACAUAUACCACAUUAUUUCAUAUAUCAAAUUCAAGUAGAAUCGACAUAUACCACAUUGUAAUGAAAGAAAGAAUCGACAAAUUCAAGUAGCAUUAUUUCCUCCACAUAACAUAUACCAGAAACAAAAAAUAAAAUUUCUUAUAUUUGAUAUAGCUAGGAAUUAAAGCAUGGCAACUAAAUAUUCAAAAUUUACUGAACAAACAAACAAGCAAAACCUCAUUUUCCCCAAAAUCCCCAAUUAUACAAAAACCCCUAAUUAUACAAAAAACCCCAAUUAUACAAAAACCCCCAAUUUUGAUAAACCCCCAAUUAUAGAAAAACACCCAAUUUUGAGAAACCCUAAACAUUUAUAAAAAACCCCCAAAAUUUAAACAGAAUCCCUAAUUUUCAUAACUAACCCUAACCCUAAUUUCAUAAUUCAACCAAAUUGGAGGAGUAGUUAUGCUUAUUCAAGCAUAAUUUGAUCAAAACAACCCUAAAUUUCAUAAAUUUAUACAAACCCCCAAAUUUUGAAAACCCUAAUUACAAAAUUUGAAAAAAUCGAACAACCCUAACUUUAUGAAAACUUGAAUUACCUAAAUAGAUGGUUUAAACCAACAAAACCAAUCUCAAAUAUCAAAAUUUGCAGCAGGAAUUGAUCUCAAAACAGAAAUCGCAUUUUGCCAUCGCGAAAAACAAAAAUCGACGAAGAGAGAAGAAGUGGAAGUAGAGAAAUGGAGGAAGAGAGGAGAUUACCUGUCGAAUUCGAGCGAAAUAGCAAAGUUUUAGACAAAGAUCGCCAUCGCCAUCGCCGUCGCCAUUGUUUUCUCAUUUGAACAGAUGUUG